CCAACGACUCUCGGCAACGGAUAUCCCGGCUCUCGCAUCGAUGAAGAACGUAGCGAAAUGCGAUACUUGGUGUGAAUUGCAGAAUCCCGUGAACCAUCGAGUUUUUGAACGCAAGUUGCGCCCGAUGCCAUUAGGUUGAGGGCACGUCUGCCUGGGUGUCACG
rnacentral:rRNA from 1 species